AUGAUGAUGAUGAUUCUUUGUCUAACCAUCUAUUAGAGGUUUUUUAGAAAUAACUUUAAUUUUAGUAUAUUUUAUUGAAAUAAUGAUUUUAUUUAUAGUUAAUUUUACUGUGAAGGAUUUAAUUUUAUUUAUUAAUAGUAAUUUUAAUUUAAUGUACCUUUUGUAUCAGGGUUAAUUAAUUUAGUAUAUUUAUAUAUAUUUCCCGAAGUUUGGAGAGAUAAAAUUAUUUGUUAGUUAAUGUGUCAAAAUUAUUAAUAAGUUAAUUUUAGUAAUGAGAUGUUAUUCGUUCCUUAAUAUCUGGUUUCUUAAGAAUUGAAUUUAAUUCAGAUUGAAUAAUGGUAAUUUAUUAUUUAUAUUUAAUUACUUUGUUUAAUUAAGACUUUUGGGGAUAAGCUCGAGAGUAUAAUUUAUAAUAAUUGUUUAAGGUAAGGUUAAGUAGGCUUGAAAUCAGCCAUCAUAAAUUUCGUUAUAGAUUUUCCUUAUAUUUAAUUUAUUUUUUUAAAAUUGGUGACAUUAUUAAGAUAAAUUUAUAAAUUAUUAAUAGAUUGUAAUUAUGAUUGAAUUAGUAUAUUUUUUAAUUAAAUUAUAGUAACUCGGCAAUUUUAAUGCUCGCCUGUUUAACAAAAACAUGUCCUUUUGUUAUUUAUAUAAGGUUUAGCCUGCCCAAUGAUUUUUGAAUGGCCGCGGUAUUUUAACCGUGCUAAGGUAGCGUAAUCAUUUGUCUUUUAAUUAAGGGCUUGAAUGAAAGGCUGGACGAGGUAUUAGCUUUCUUUAGUUUAAUUGAUUGAAUUUAACUUUUAAGUUAAAAGGCUUAAAUUUAUUUGUUGGACGAGAAGACCCUAUAGAUCUUUACAUUUAUAAUUAUUAUAAUUUAUAGUGAUUAACUUUUUAUGAUUAUUAAAGAUGUUUGGUUGGGGUGAUUAGAGAAUUAAAAUAACUUCUUUAAAAUUUAUCUCAUUAAUUAUUGUUUUUAUGAUCCAUUAUUAGUGAUUAAAAGAUUAAGUUACCUUAGGGAUAACAGCGUAAUUUUUUCGGAGAGUUCAUAUCGAUGAAGAAGUUUGCGACCUCGAUGUUGGAUUAAAAUAAGUUUUGAGUGCAGCAGCUCAGGGACUAGGUCUGUUCGACCUUUUAUUUUUUACAUGAUCUGAGUUCAGACCGGCGUGAGCCAGGUCAGUUUCUAUCCUCAACUUGAUUAUAUAUAUUAGUACGAAAGGACCAUAUAUAUGAAGAAUCUUUUAUUUUUUGUUUAAUAUUACUA
rnacentral:rRNA from 1 species